UUUUAUGUGAGAAACUUGCAUGGAUAAAGUGAUGAUUAAGUAUAAAUCCCUGAACUGUAAUUGCUACUUUCAUAUAGCCAAUACACAGUAGAAUGAAGAGGCUUUAGCAGUUCUACAAGAAGUUCAGGAUAAGAACAACUUAGAGUUGAGUGACUUUAACAUACCAGCUUUAGCUAGAUUGAAGACUAACCUUCUUAAGGAAGGAUUGGAGGUUCCUUUCGAAGUGCCAGAGCAACAAGGUAGAUCCCAAGAAGAUAGCUCCAGUGACAGCUCUGAUGAUGAG